rnacentral:rRNA from 1 species
UACGUAGGGGGCAAGCGUUGUCCGGAUUUAUUGGGCGUAAAGAGCGUGUAGGCGGCUUUGCAAGUCCGUUGUGAAAACUCGAGGCUCAACCUCGAGACGCCGGUGGAAACUGCAAAGCUAGAGUCCGGAAGAGGAGAGUGGAAUUCCUGGUGUAGCGGUGAAAUGCGCAGAUAUCAGGAGGAACACCAAUUGCGAAGGCAGCUCGCUGGGACGUUACUGACGCUGAGACGCGAAAGCGUGGGGAGCAAACAGG